rnacentral:rRNA from 1 species
CCCCUAGAGGAGCCUGUUCUAUAAUCGAUAAUCCACGAUCUACCUCACCAUCUCUUGCCAAUACCGCCUAUAUACCGCCGUCACCAGCCUACCCUAUGAAGGAUAUAAAAGUAAGCAAAAUAGCACAACAGCUAACAAGUCAGGUCAAGGUGUGGCUUACUGAGAUGGAAGAAAUGGGCUACAUUUUCUAAACUAGAAAUCAUUUCACGGAAAGAACUAUGAAACAAGUCCUAUAAGUAGGAUUUAGCAGUAAAUAGGGAUCAGAAUGCCCAAUUUAAGCCGGUCCUAAGGUACGC